AAGUCGUAACAAGGUUUCCGUAGGUGAACCUGCGGAAGGAUCAUCAUCACGAUAUCCAUUCGAAACAUGAAGUAAAUUCAUUACCAAGUGUCUCUAGACCUUACUAUAAGUGGUGAGACAUACCUAUCCGAGCGUACUUGUACGCCCUGUGUUUAGAAAGGAAACAAAUACUAUACAACUGCUAACGGCGGAUCACUCGGCUCGCA
rnacentral:misc_RNA from 1 species